rnacentral:rRNA from 1 species
CCUACGGGUGGCUGCAGUGAGGAAUAUUGGGCAAUGGGCGAAAGCCUGACCCAGCAACGCCGCGUGGAGGAAGACGGCCUUCGGGUUGUAAACUCCUUUUGACGGGGAAGAGAGAGGACGGUACCCGUCGAAUAAGUCACGGCUAACUACGUGCCAGCAGCCGCGGUAAUACGUAGGUGACAAGCGUUAUCCGGAAUUACUGGGCGUAAAGCGCACGCAGGCGGCAGAUUAAGUCUGACGUGAAAUCUCCUGGCUUAACUGGGAGGGGUCGUUGGAAACUGGUCAGCUUGAGGUGGUGAGAGGGGUGUAGAAUUCCCGGUGUAGUGGUGGAAUGCGUAGAUAUCGGGAGGAAUACCAGUGGCGAAAGCGACACCCUGGCACUAGCCUGACGCUCAUGUGCGAAAGCGUGGGGAGCAAACGGGAUUAGAUACCCCAGUAGUC